UCCCCACUUGCUGUGAGGCAGUCUCGCAUGAUUUGCAACAUACGAUAGGGGUUGCGCUCGUUACCGCACUUAAGCGGACAUCUCACGACACGAGCUGACGACAACCAUGCAGCACCUGUGUACCACCCUCGUAGGCGGCUCCUGUUUCCAGGAGCUUGCAGGUACAUGUCAAGCCCAGGUAAGGUUCUUCGGUUUGUAUCGAAUUAAACCACAUGAUCCACUGGUUGUGCGCUCCCCCGUCAAUUCCUUUGAGUUUUAACCUUGCGGUCGUACUCCCCAGGCGGGAUACUUAACGUGUUAACUUGCGUCACCUCAUCCACUCAACCUCGCUAAGCGAGACUGAGCGGAUGCGGCAACUAGUAUCCAUAGUUUACGGCUAGGACUAC
rnacentral:misc_RNA from 1 species